GAGAGGUGACAUGGCAAAAUCGGUUGUGCCUGAGACAGCCAAAGAAGCCCCAAGAGAUCCAAGAUGCAAAGGUCAAAGCAGCUCAGCAGGUUGACGGGACCACCAAUAAUCCUGUGCUGCUGCAAACCGUGAUGUCUGUGGACAGAGCUGGCACCCUAGAGCAGCCUUGGGCAGGCAGCUGGAGUGCUGUGCGGUUCCAGAGGGAAGGGGCAGAUCCUGUGAGCUUUUAUUGGGCCAGAAGUUACUGGAACUUUCCUGGGCUCUGAAAAAUGGAGACUAUUCACUCUUUCUUCCAAAACUCAAUUUUCCUUCUGAUACAGCAUUAUCCUUCUGCUAAGUGGUAGCAGAUGAGCGAGUCUCCAGCGCUGCACGAACACGAGAGCAUUCCUACCUCUUACAUAGGCCCCUUCCUAAGGAGCAAGGCUGUCACAGACAGCUCAGCCUUUGACAAAGCAAUAAUAAAAGCCAGGUUUGUGAUGCUGGUCCAUCAGCAGGUGGUACUGUGUAGUCAGUUUAUAAUGAACAAAGUGAGAACGAUCUCAUUUUGAAGGGGAAUUUGGAAGAGGAGGUUAGCAUCACAUCUGACACAAGCACAGUGGGCAAAGGUAACUCCCGACACACCAGAAUACACACGGAAGGAGAAGGAAGGAAGCCAGUGGGUGUGUUAAGAUCUGAAUAAGAAAAGAGCUAAAACUUUCAAAAAGAAAACAACUUAGUGCAUGCAAGAUAUGAGAAAUAGGCGAAUGAGCUUUUGUUUCUGAGAGAG